GAUGAACGCUAGCGGGAGGCCUAACACAUGCAAGCCGAGCGGUGUUUGUCUUUCGGGACAGAGAGAGCGGCGUACGGGUGCGGAACACGUGUGCAACCUGCCUUUAUCUGGGGGAUAGCCUUUCGAAAGGAAGAUUAAUACCCCAUAAUAUAAUGAAUGGCAUCAUUUAUUAUUGAAAACUCCAGUGGAUAGAGAUGGGCACGCGCAAGAUUAGAUAGUUGGUGAGGUAACGGCUCACCAAGUCGAUGAUCUUUAGGGGGCCUGAGAGGGUGAUCCCCCACACUGGUACUGAGACACGGACCAGACUCCUACGGGAGGCAGCAGUGAGGAAUAUUGGACAAUGGGUUAGCGCCUGAUCCAGCCAUCCCGCGUGAAGGACGACGGCCCUAUGGGUUGUAAACUUCUUUUGUACAGGGAUAAACCUACUCUCGUGAGAGUAGCUGAAGGUACUGUACGAAUAAGCACCGGCUAACUCCGUGCCAGCAGCCGCAGUAA
rnacentral:rRNA from 1 species